rnacentral:rRNA from 1 species
AGUGAACGCUGGCGGCAGGCCUAACACAUGCAAGUCGAACGGCAACACGAAAAGACUUGCUUCUUUGCUGUCGCGUGGCGGGGAGGUGUGUAGUGUAUAUCAAACUCUAUUUUGUCGUGGGGUAUAUCGUAGGAACGCUUACUCUAAUAGCAUAUAGUACCUACGCGUAAAAGCAGGGGCUUUUCGGCUCUUGCCCUCUUAUGUGCGCCGAUGUGGGAUUAGCUAGUUGGCGGGGUAAAGGCCCACCUAGGCGACGAUCCGUAGCUGGUCUGAGAGGAUGAUCAGCCACACUGGAACUGAGACACGGUCCAGACUCCUACGGGAGGCAGCAGUGGGGAAUAUUGGACAAUGGGCGCAAGCCUGAUGCAGCCAUGCCGCGUGGGUGAAGAAGGCCUUCGGGUUGUAAAGCCCUUUUGUUGGGAAAGAAGAGAGGAAGGUUAAUACCUCGCUGUACUGACGGUACCCGAAGAAUAAGCACCGGCUAACUUCGUG